rnacentral:rRNA from 1 species
GACGAACGCUGGCGGCGUGCUUAACACAUGCAAGUCGCACGAAGUGGCGAACGGGUGAGUAAUACGUGGGUAACCUGCCCUCCUUUUUGGGAUAAGCCUUGGAAACGGGGUCUAAUACCGAAUCAAGGGGGUUGGGCUCGCGGUCUAUCAGCUUGUUGGUGGGGUGAUGGCCUACCAAGGCGGUGACGGGUAGGCGGCCUGUGAGGGUGACCGUCAACAUUAGGACGGGGAUACGGGCCAGACUGCUACGGGAGGGAGCAGGGAGGGAUAUUUCACAAUGGGCGAAAGCCUGAUGCAGCGACGCCGCGUGGGGGAUGAAAGCGUUGGGGUUGUAAACCUCUGUCGCGAUCGAACGGGUAUGUGGAGAAGAAGCGCCGGCUAACUACGUGCCAGCCGCCGCGGUAAUAC